rnacentral:rRNA from 1 species
AUGAAUAUUUUAAGUUGGAACUGCCGGGGGGCAGGGAACCCCUGAACAGUUCGUGAUCUCGUGAGUCUUGUCCAGGCUCACUCCCCUAGUAUCGUUUUUCUUUGUGAAACUAGGCAGCCAAAAAAUAAAAUGAAGAGGUACCGUGCUCGGUUAGGCUUAAGUGGUUUUGAUGCUUGUGAUAGCGUUGGUCGUAGUGGUGGCCUUGCUUUGUACUGGCAUGAGUCGCUGAUCGUCGAUGUAAAAUAUAUUAAUGAAAGAUAUUUGAUGCGUAUGUGA